rnacentral:rRNA from 1 species
AGUGAACGCUGGCGGUAGGCCUAACACAUGCCAGUCGAACGGCAGCACAGUAAGAGCUUGCUCUUACGGGUGGCGAGUGGCGGACGGGUGAGGAAUACAUCGGAAUCUACUUUUUCGUGGGGGAUAACGUAGGGAAACUUACGCUAAUACCGCAUACGACCUACGGGUGAAAGCAGGGGAUCUUCUGACCUUGCGCGAUUGAAUGAGCCGAUGUCGGAUUAGCUAGUUGGCGGGGUAAAGGCCCACCAAGGCGACGAUCCGUAGCUGGUCUGAGAGGAUGAUCAGCCACACUGGAACUGAGACACGGUCCAGACUCCUACGGGAGGCAGCAGUGGGGAAUAUUGGACAAUGGGCGCAAGCCUGAUCCAGCCACACCGCGUGGGUGAAGAAGGCCUUCGGGUUGUAAAGCCCUUUUGUUGGGAAAGAAAAGCAGCAGGUUAAUACCCCGCUGUUCUGACGGUACCCAAAGAAUAAGCACCGGCUAACUUCGUG